rnacentral:lncRNA from 1 species
CCGCAGGCUGGGCUGCAGCAGCUCAGUCCCGGCGGCCUCCGCCCGGGCGCACUGAAGGAAGCAAGUGUGCGGGCUGGCGGAGCCGGGCAAGCGGCGGUGGAGGCGGCUGAUCCCGCACAGCCCCUGCCGAGCUCCGCUUCGGCUCGCGCUUGCUCGCUGAGAAAAUUCUUGCAUUUUUGAUGUUCUCUUAAACCUGUUCAUCAAGACCUUCAAGAUGUCCCGCGGAGAGCUUACCUGUAACAUACUGAACCUAAAGUCAGAAACUAAAAUGAGUCUUCUUUUAAAGGCCAAAAAGAAAAUGGAAAAAAGAAAUGAUAUGAGUACUGUUCCAACUGGUGCUGCCUUUGCAAAUAUGUCAUCAAGAGUUGAUACCCAGAAGGGCAUUGGUAUUGCUCCUACUUAUUCUGCAUUUGCAAGUAUGUCAUCAAGAGUUGAUACCCAGAAGGGCAUUGGUACUGUUCCUACUAGUGCUGC